GGGGGACCUUCGGGCCUCUUGCCAUCGGAUGUGCCCAGAUGGGAUUAGCUAGUAGGUGGGGUAACGGCUCACCUAGGCGACGAUCCCUAGCUGGUCUGAGAGGAUGACCAGCCACACUGGAACUGAGACACGGUCCAGACUCCUACGGGAGGCAGCAGUGGGGAAUAUUGCACAAUGGGCGCAAGCCUGAUGCAGCCAUGCCGCGUGUAUGAAGAAGGCCUUCGGGUUGUAAAGUACUUUCAGCGGGGAGGAAGGGAGUAAAGUUAAUACCUUUGCUCAUUGACGUUACCCGCAGAAGAAGCACCGGCUAACUCCGGCCAGCAGCCGCCGUAAUCCGGAGGGAGCAAGCUCCAAUAGGAAUUUCCGGGGUAAUGCGCACGCUGGCCGGUUG
rnacentral:rRNA from 1 species